AUUGAACGCUGGCGGCAGGCCUAACACAUGCAAGUCGAACGGUAACAGGAAGCAGCUUGCUGCUUUUCUGACGAGUGGCGGACGGGUGAGUAAUGUCUGGGAAACUGCCUGAUGGAGGGGGAUAACUACUGGAAACGGUAGCUAAUACCGCAUAACGUCGCAAGACCAAAGAGGGGGACCUUCGGGCCUCUUGCCAUCGGAUGUGCCCAGAUGGGAUUAGCUAGUAGGUGGGGUAACGGCUCACCUAGGCGACGAUCCCUAGCUGGUCUGAGAGGAUGACCAGCCACACUGGAACUGAGACACGGUCCAGACUCCUACGGGAGGCAGCAGUGGGGAAUAUUGCACAAUGGGCGCAAGCCUGAUGCAGCCAUGCCGCGUGUAUGAAGAAGGCAUUCGGGUUGUAAAGUACUUUCAGCGGGGAGGAAGGGAGUAAAGUUAAUACCUGUGCUCAUUGACGUUACCCGCAGAAGAAGCACCGGCUAACUCCGUG
rnacentral:rRNA from 1 species